CAAGCAUGUGAUGAACAACCUUUCAAAUGCAUAGUUCAACUGAGACUGCAUGUCAGUCCAUGAACGAUAACCUAUUACCAUCUUUCACCAUUAUCUGAGU
rnacentral:snoRNA from 1 species